GCUCUUCAGAUCUGCCUUGUGGUCGGGGGAUGAUGCUUUCCCAUCUCAACCCUCUUAAAAUCAGCAGUCCAAAAGAGAAAAAAAAAGUACUAAGA